rnacentral:lncRNA from 1 species
GUCGACCAAAGAUUUCAUUCAGCCCAAAGGGCAAACAUACAAGGUACAGAGUCCAAGAUCAAAACAAGCCCAUUAAAACAAACAUACAGCACAGUCAACACGUGUAUACACAUGUGUUAACUCAAUAAGCUAAUAAAAGACAUGUGUCUUGAUUUGAGCUUGUCUUCGUUACGCUGCUGUUUCCACCACCACUCUUCGCCGCCGAUCAGAGCAAACAUGUGCUUCACCACCAACGACGAUGACCUCCACAGAAAAAGAUUUGUACCUCGAUGUUAACUUUUACCGAUCUUUACUUCUAAAUAGAAUGUGUCGGAAGAACAAGCCGAAAUAAAGAUGAUGAUGAUGCGUGCUUUUAAAACUUCUUCAGAUUCAGUCUUCAAGGAAGCUUCACCGUUGCUCGGACCCAAUUUAUUGGUCUGAGCUGUUGUCCGUCGUUGCUCCAAGUGUCGAGCAAGAGGAUGACCAGCAAAGAUAUUAAUCCAAAGCAAGAUAGAAACCUGAAACAAGAUUUAAAAGAAAAACCAGCGAUUCUGACAAAGAUAAUCACUAAAGAUCAGAAAAGAAAAGAUCCGGAUUGAACCGGAGAGAAUCCGAACUAAAUCGAAAAUUUAUUAUCCAAAAAAACGGAAAAGGAAAUCCGAACAAAGUUGGAAAAUUAAUAAAACAAAAAAACCUGAGAAAAUCCGGCUAAGAUACCGACUUCGAUGAGA